GGCACCAUGGCUUCGCUGGUUAAAGCACUUGUUUCAAAAACAGGGGAUUCUGGGUUCAACUCCCAGUGGUGCCU